ACGGGAGGCAGCAGUGGGGGAUAUUGCACAAUGGGGGGAACCCUGAUGCAGCAAUGCCGCGUGAGGGAAGAAGUUUUUCGGAAUGUAAACCUCUGUCCUUCGGGAAGAUAAUGACGGUACCGAAGGAGGAAGCUCCGGCUAACUACGUGCCAGCAGCCGCGGUAAUACGUAGGGAGCGAGCGUUGUCCGGAAUUACUGGGUGUAAAGGGUGCGUAGGCGGCCGAUCAAGUCAGACGUGAAAACUAUGGGCUUAACCCAUAACGUGCGUUUGAAACUGAGCGGCUUGAGUGAAGUAGAGGUAAGUGGAAUUCCCGGUGUAGCGGUGGAAUGCGUAGAGAUCGGGAGGAACACCAGUGGCGAAGGCGGCUUACUGGGCUUUAACUGACGCUGAGGCACGAAAGCGUGGGUAGCAAACAGGAUUAGAUACCCUGGUA
rnacentral:rRNA from 1 species